rnacentral:rRNA from 1 species
GGAUUAGAUACCCUGGUAGUCCUAGCCGUAAACGGUGCACACUUGCUGUAGGCGGAUUCGACCCCGUCUGUGGCGGAGCAAACGUGUUAAGUGUGCCGCCUGGGGAGUACGGUCGCAAGAUUAAAACUCAAAGAAAUUGACGGGGGCCUGCACAAGCGGUGGAGUAUGUGGCUUAAUUCGAUGCAACGCGAAGAACCUUACCUGGCCUUGACAUGCAUCUCUAAGUGUGUGAAAGCACAUGACCCCUCGGGGAAUUUGCACAGGUGCUGCAUGGCUGUCGUCAGCUCGUGCCG